GCGCUAGACCCUACACCAGCCAGCAUACGGGUUGGGCCGGGCAACCGGCAGUAGGGUAAUCUCAGUAUGAUCGUGGCUGUCCGGGUGGCUUGGGCAGACAUUAAAUCAAGGCCACUCGCCAAAGUUCAGCCUGUUCGGUGGGCGUGACCAAGGCUAAAGCAAUAAAUUACCGGACUAAGUAUGUAGAACUGCCUGUAGAGGGCUUUCGGACGCGGGUUCGAUUCCCGCCGCCUCCACCA
rnacentral:tmRNA from 1 species